UGAUGAAGCACCUCAACUGUCACAGUA
rnacentral:piRNA from 1 species